rnacentral:rRNA from 1 species
UGCAAGUCGAACGCCCUCUUUCGGAGGGAGUGGCAGACGGGUGAGUAACACGCGGGAAUCUACCUAUCGGUAAGGAACAACACAUAGAAACGUGUGCUAAUACCUUAUACGUCCUCAGGGAGAAAGAUUUAUCGCCGAUAGAUGAGCCCGCGUUUGAUUAGCUAGUUGGUGAGGUAAUGGCUCACCAAGGCGACGAUCAAUAGCUGGUCUGAGAGGAUGAUCAGCCACACUGGGACUGAGACACGGCCCAGACUCCUACGGGAGGCAGCAGUGGGGAAUAUUGGACAAUGGGCGCAAGCCUGAUCCAGCCAUGCCGCGUGUGUGAUGAAGGCCCUAGGGUUGUAAAGCACUUUCAACGGUGAAGAUAAUGACGGUAACCGUAGAAGAAGCUCCGGCUAACUUCGUGCCAGCAGCCGCGGUAAUACGGAGGGAGCUAGCGUUGUUCGGAAUUACUGGGCGUAAAGCGCACGUAGGCGGAUUAUUAAGUCAGGGGUGAAAUCCCGGGGCUCAACCCCGGAACUGCCCUUGAUACUGGUAAUCUAGAGAUCGAGAGAGGUGAGUGGAAUUCCGAGUGUAGAGGUGAAAUUCGUAGAUAUUCGGAGGAACACCAGUGGCGAAGGCGGCUCACUGGCUCGAUACUGACGCUGAGGUGCGAAAGCGUGGGGGAGCAAACAGGAUUAGAUACCCUG